rnacentral:rRNA from 1 species
CGUGCGGUUCUAUUUUGUUGGUUUUUGGAAUCGCCGUAAUGAUUAAUAGGGACAGUCGGGGGCAUUAGUACUCACAUGCUAGAGGUGAAAUUCUUGGAUUUUGUGAAGACUAACUCCUGCGAAAGCAUUUGCCAAGGAUGUUUUCAUUAAUCAAGAACGAAGGUUAGGGUAUCGAAAACGAUUAGAUACCGUUGUAGCCUUAACAGUAAACUAUGCCGACUAGGGAUCGGUCGAUGUUAUCUUUUUGACUCGAUCGGCACCUUACGAGAAGUCAAAGUUUUUGGGUUCUGGGGGGAGUAUGGUCGCAAGGCUGAAACUUAAAGAAAUUGACGGAAGGGCACCACCAGGAGUGGAGCCUGCGGCUUAAUUUGAUUCAACACGG